rnacentral:misc_RNA from 1 species
AAGAAUCCGCCAAGUACGUGUUUCGUCUCAAACACUGAAAAAGACAGGUUCUUUUUAUCGCCGGCUAAGAAAGAGGCGGCUUGAAUGGGCGUCCUAGGAUCUAGUUACUACCAUAGGUAGGGCUAGUCAUAGACGGGUGCUUCCCGAAGAGCUAUGAGCCAUACGACUGUGUCUUCCGAGGGUGUCGGAUAGGCACGGUCAGGCCAGAGUCUCCAGGGGGGCAUCUCAAUCCCAAGGAGGAAUUUAUUUUGUUUACAGGGAGGGUGUGCGUCAACCAUGCCCAGGUUCCAAGCAUGCUAUGGACUCAGGGACAGAGUCUCAUAGGGAGUGCCCCGGAAAACCCGUGUCUACUGGCGAUUUUCGUCUUUAGACACGACGCUACAACCCAGUCAGUUUCAAACCAACUUGCAAUCACCCUUCGCGUCCCAAGAGGGGAUUCUGAUUGCACAGAGACGAAACCAGACUAGCGUCACUCACGUUCUCGGCGGAACCGGUUCGUGAGAUUUACUUUUUUACUUGCUAUCGAUGAUAAUUUUGGCACUGGUGACGUUGGAGCAUAGGAGAUGAUGCUCUUGGUGGAGGAAGGGAGGAGUGGAUUCGGGGGCUUGUUUGCAAGACAGGAGGCGGGGGGAAUAGUGAGGGGCGGUGGGUGUUGGAUGGUAGAUGAGGGAUGGUGGAAGGGGUGGUGGAUGGCAAAUGCGGGUGGUGGGAGGCCGUAGGCUGUGGAUUAUGGAUGGUUGGGCGUGUGAGGGAGAAAGCACUUGAGCCCUCUGGAUGUAUGUCCGGGAUCCCUCGUUCUCAAUCACCUCUGUGUCCAAGGGAGAAAAAGGUCAGACUUUCGGGUUGUGGUCUUCUCAAUCCCAUCCUCCCCGGACAGUGGAAGGAGUGUCGGGAGAGGGAUGCGACAUUCUAUGGAGUUGGGAUUGUGUGGGUGGGAUAUAUAAUUUAAUGUAUUGAUUUUCUUGA